rnacentral:rRNA from 1 species
UACGUAGGGUGCAGGCGUUAAUCGGAAUUACUGGGCGUAAAGCGUGCGCAGGCGGUCUUUUAAGUCAGAUGUGAAAUCCCCGGGCUCAACCCGGGAACUGCGUCCGAUACUGGGAGGCUUGAAUCCGGGAGAGGGAUGUGGAAUUCCAGGUGUAGCGGUGAAAUGCGUAGAUAUCUGGAGGAACACCGGUGGCGAAGGCGGCAUCCUGGACCGGUAUUGACGCUGAGGCGCGAAAGCCAGGGGAGCAAACGGG